UUGGAAGUGGGUCGCAGGUGACGCGUUAAUACAGAGGGUGCGAGGGGUAAUCGGAGUUGCUGUGCGGAAAGCGUUGGUAGGCGGCUGAUUAAGGCGGAUGUGAAAUCCCUGAGCUGAACUUAUGAAUUGCAUUCGAGACUGGUCAGCUAGAGUAUGGGAGAGGAUGGUAGAAUUCCAGGUGUAGCGGUGAAAUGCGUAGAGAUCUGGAGGAAUACCGAUGGCGAAGGCAGCCAUCUGGCCUAAUACUGACGCUGAGGUACGAAAGCAUGGGGAGCAAACAGGAUUAGAUACGCGAGUAGUC
rnacentral:rRNA from 1 species